rnacentral:rRNA from 1 species
CCGGUCAUGUGUGAUAGACGGCGGUCGUUGCAUGGUCGGGGUUGUGGGACCCGUUGUCCUGUUCUGCCGGACAGGAGCAGUUACAGCGCAGUAUAGGCGAACAGCUUUGAAUGGCUGGUCAUAGAGGGUGCGAACCCCGUAGCCGAAAUGCUGGCGCUGGCUGAAUGGGGAUCCCAAGUAGCUCGGGGCCCGAGAAAUCCCGUGUGAAUCUGUCAGGACCACCUGAUAAGCCUAAAUACUCCCAGAUGACCGAUAGCGGACAAGUACCGUGAGGGAAAGGUGAAAAGUACCCCGGGAGGGGAGUGAAAUAGUACCUGAAACCGUUUGCUUACAAACCGUUGGAGCCUCCUUGUAGGGGUGACAGCGUGCCUUUUGAAGAAU